UACAGAGGGGGCAAGCGUUGUUCGGAAUUACUGGGCGUAAAGGGCGCGUAGGCGGCCGCCUAAGUCAGACGUGAAAUCCCUCGGCUCAACCGGGGAACUGCGUCUGAUACUGGGUGGCUUGAAUCCGGGAGAGGGAUGCGGAAUUCCAGGUGUAGCGGUGAAAUGCGUAGAUAUCUGGAGGAACACCGGUGGCGAAGGCGGCAUCCUGGACCGGCAUUGACGCUGAGGCGCGACAGCGUGGGGAGCAAACAGG
rnacentral:rRNA from 1 species